GUAUAUAUAGCUCAGUGGUAGAGUGCAGGCUUAGCAUGCAUGAGGUCCUGGGUUCAAUCCCCAGUACCUCCA
rnacentral:tRNA from 1 species